rnacentral:rRNA from 1 species
UACGGGGGGGGGCAAGCGUUGUUCGGAAUUACUGGGCGUAAAGGGUGCGUAGGCGGCUUGUUAAGUAGGGUGUGAAAUCCCAAGGCUCAACCUUGGAAUUGCGCCCUAAACUGGCGAGCUGGAGUGAGAUAGGGGUGUGUGGAACUUCCAGUGGAGCGGUGAAAUGUGUUGAUAUUGGAAGGAACGCCAGUGGCGAAAGCGACACACUGGGUCUCAACUGACGCUGAAGCACGAAAGCCAGGGGAGCAAACGGG